GCGGAAGUCCCGCCCCUCCCCGGGGAGGGAGGCCCGCGUGGCUUUCACCGCGCACGCGGAGCUGCUGCCGCCCAUCGAUUUUUUUUUUUCCCAGAAGCCGUUAUUUUCCAGGACACUUGGAGUCUUCAGAGAAAGAAUUGCCUCAGAAUUCACCUGCUUGUCCGACAGCGGUCCUCCCCUUCCAGGGCGGGAGGGCGCCCACCCCUUGCAGGGGCUCCUUCUGCCGCACCUCCGCCUGGCUCGGCCCUGUCGACUCACUCCUCUGAGGCCGCGUCUCCAAGACCGGCGUCCGAAGCCCUCGCGGGCCGGCCCCUCUCUGUGCGGCCGCAUGGGCCCCUCCGCCUCCCACCAGAGCCUGGGCGGGGUCCUGGCUUCUCCGUCGCCUUCCCGGGGCUCGUGCCGCAGGCAGGCUCGGUGGCUCUGCCGUCGAGGUCUCUCCGGGCCUCUCCAGUCGUCGUCUCCCGUCGCGGUCGUCGCCACCCGAAAGAGUGGACGGAUCUUCCCGAUGCAGUCAACCUGCGUGCAUCCCUCCAAAGUCUGCACCCUUGAGGUGCCUAAUGAAGAAGGAGGUUGUUCUUAGCAGGGGAAGGGCAGGCAUGCUUGUGAGAUGGAGCUGGGCACACCUCCCCCUCCGCCGGCGGAGAGGUCUCAGGUGAGGGCUCAGGAGGAGGUGAACGUCCCUGGGCGAGAACCUGUCCCUCCUGCCCUCACUCUGGACGUCGAAACAAGCGCCAGCACCUCCUGGAUUCCGCAGCAGCACAUCUGUGUAGAGACGGACCGCACUCUGCGAUUUCUUGGCUUUCAGACGUGACCGGUCACCUCCAGUCCCUCACCCCCUUCUGUGCCGGCCAGUGUGUGCCGGGUCCUGAGUGAGGAGGGCGGGCGUCCGUCCCCUGACCAGCUUCCGGGCCAGGCCACGCUCAUUCAGACCCACGGUGGAGCCUUUUACCCACAACCGCGACCUCAGUGCAGCCUGGGAGCUCUGGCUCAGGAACACGUAACUUUCCAAGAAAGAAGUUGGUUCCUGCCAAGAAAGAGCAUCCAGUCAUUCCCUCAGCUGCCCUCCGCGUGCUGGCACGAGGGAGCGCUCCUCGGGAGAAGCCGGCCCGCGCCAGGGCACACAGGCUUCCACGGGUUCUUGGGAUCCUGCAGAGUGCCUCCAGGGGUUUAAGCGGGCCCUUUGGAGUUUUCAGAGUCACCCUGACCUCAGAAGGCCGCUGCAGGCGGGGCCCUGUCCGAGGCCCAACGCGGGGACAGCAAGGCCACCACAGUGCACAGCGUGUUUGUUCCCACAGAGACGCGCUCGUGUUGGCUGAAUCCCCAGCAUCCACCCACCCCAAGGCAGCCUGGCCAGCGACUGGCCAGCCACAGGCAAGGGAGCUAUCCUGAGAGCAGGGCACCCCGGGCGGCGUCCCCCGGAAAAGCGCAUCUGGAAUGGAGGCCGCUGCCUUGCUCCUCACCUGAGGCUGAAGCUAACCCCUGAGGGGCUGCGAGCAAAGCCAGAGCCUGGACGUCCUGAGCCCAGAGGGCACCCACCCCUGGACUUCCUGCUGAGCCAGAAAAUGAAUUCCCUUAGCUUCCAGCCAGCUUCUGAGUCUUGCUUUUCUGCCCCUUAAAGUCAGAGCCAAGCUGCAUCCUUGGAGGUCCCCUCCCAGAUCCCACCACUCAAGGUUACUUCCAGUGGACCCACCUCACAGCUUCUGCCACCCAGGCGUGAUCUCCCUGGAGCCUGCAGAUAAGUGCCUGUGAACACUCGGCCCUCUGGGCCACAUGUAGGUUUAAUGACCACGCGCCACCGGGAGAGUCUUUUUCUUCCUUGAUAUCCUCGGAGGAUGUGGGACCUCAGUGUGGCACGAAACUGAAAUCUGCGUGGAGCGUGUCCUUGAGCCAACUUCCUGUUCUCACUGAAAGGGCAGUGGCAUCGCAUCUUCCGGAUGCUCAAGUGCCAGCUCUCCACCUGGGGAAAGACAGCACUUUACACAUGCGAGAAAGCCGGGAGGACGGGCUCUUUGAAAACCGUCACCUUGUCAUGGGGAGGGAUUUGGCACCCCCCUUCCCUCGAGAGAACAUGAGGUAAAAUGACAGAGAAGCCCACCCCAGCGUGUUUUUGACUUGGCUGAUGAGCAGGACACGUGGAGAGGGUCCCCACCCACCCUGUCCUGACCCCAGCCCUGUCUUCAAAAGGACGCCUCUCAACAGCUACUUUAACAUAGCUCAUUGUUCUCUUGAGAAUCACACGGGGAGAAACAGAGAGAAGGUGACCAAAGCAGAGUUUUUUUAAUGUGUCAAGGGUUUGUCUUUGAGCUCAAGCCAACCCUGGGGCUUCUCUUCAUAAUCUGAAAAGCUGGCUGCCCCCUCUGGUACUUCAGAAAAACUGAAGGUGGAGAAUUCUGGAUUACCCAGACUUAUCCAUUCAAGGACUACUUGAUACGAUACCAAAGCAGCCUGUAAAGUGGAGUUCAUUCAUCCAGUGGCUCUUCAGCCUACUCUGUGCUGGAAACACUGCUGGGGACACAGCCAGGGCCACUGUAGGAGCCCGGAGCUACAUCCCUCUACUGGGCAAUUCUACCGCGGUCUAAUUCACAGAUGUCUUACAAACUGCAGACUACGCCUGAGUCACAAAACAAAUAGACCAACAAGAACACACAAAGCCCCUGGAGACAAAAAGGGUGAAAUGGGGCUCAACGCAAUCAUUUACUGACUCUCCAGUACCUCGUUCCCUGACCCACGAGGCCAUGGCCCUUCUUUUUGUUCAUCAGCCCAAUUUCCUCAUGUUAAAUCUCGACGAAACGGAGCAUUGUCAUUGAAAAUCAGCACAAUUCGUAAAUUAGAAAAUGAUCUGAAAGCAUUCAAAACGCAGGAGAUAUAUCAACUUUGACAGAGUGCUUUUUUGGUUGACUUUGUGGCCACUGAACUUGCUGCUGAGCUGAAGCAUGGUUUCGUAAAGAGCUGCUUCAUUAAGAAAGAUCAGACUCGGCUCUGUCUUCUUAUGUCGUGGGUAAGAGGCAGGGCUGCACAGGGGUGAUUUGGGGUGAUGAUUUCCAGCCACAGGUUUCCACCCUGAGUGAGAGAAUGUAAAUUAACCGUCACUGCCCCCGGGGGUGCCUUUUGCAAGUGCCCUCAAAAAAUAAUAAAAGAAGAUACCCAGUCAGUUCCAUCCAUCA